UUGUUUUUGCAGUCACUUAUGCUGCCGAAUUUGCAAUAAAAGUGGUGGCCAGAGGAUUUGUUUGGGAUGAAUUCACCUAUCUUCGAGACCCAUGGAACUGCCUGGAUCUUUUUGUUUUAAUCAUGACAUAUAUAGCCUUGUGUAAUACUAACCUUGGAAGCAUUUCAGCUCUUCGCAUUUUCAAGGUUCUGAGAACUUUUAAAGCUGUUUCUGUACUGCCAGGGCUGAAAGUCAUAGUAGAUUCACUCUUUCAAUCUAUCAAGAAACUUGCAAAUGUGAUGCUCAUGACAGUUUUCUGCUUGAGUGUCUUUGCAUUAGUUGGCCUCCAGCUGUUCAUGGGCAACUUAAAAAAUAAAUGUGUG